UCAUGUAUGAAUGAAUCCACUGAUGAACUCAUAAUUUGAUAGUGAUAUUGGAGGGUAUGUGCUCUGGGUUCAGUCCCCAGUGAUAACAACAAAACCAGUGCAGAAGUUCUUGAUCUGAUCUUACCUCCUGCUAUCGCUUACCAGAGACAGCUGUCUACAGCACAGCACAGGACUGCUGCACCCAAACUCAACUCUCUCUGAUUUAAGUUCAAAGGAAAUGAAAUGCUGUUCUUCAGCGGAUGGAGAAGACAAUGAUUACCUAGUUCAAUUGCUUCGCUUUCUACAUGGAAAAAUAGAGCUUGAUUUGGAAGGGGGCUUGCUUUGAGACAGAGUUUGCGCCAAAGCCAACACUUCUAAAACAAAACCAGAAACAAGGCGGAAAACAGCAGACUGGAUUGCGAAGUCAGCAGCUUAUGGCGCCACUUUGGCAUCGGCAGCUUUCGGCAUUCAGAACCUUGGCACUUGGAUUUGGUGGUAAGAACCAAGCCCGUUCAGACAUCCUGGCUCUGAUGGACCUGUUCUUUGGUUCUGGAAUUGCUUGCUCCCUGGACAAGGGGAAAAUGGAAAGGUUGCUUUUAAUGUGA
rnacentral:lncRNA from 1 species